UAGNNANCCUUCCUUGAAUUUUAUUAUCGCAUGAAAAAGGUAUCUUAAUCCAACAUCGAGGUCACAAACUUUCUUGAUGAUAAGAACUCUUUAAGAAAAUUAUGCUGUUAUCCCUAUAGUAACUUAUUCCUUUUUAAAAAUUUUUUGAUUUUUCAAGAAUUGUAUUCAUAUUAUAAAAAUAAAAUUUUUAUUUAUUUACUGCCCCAGUAAAAUAAUUUUUAAUUUAUUCUGAUAUUAAAUUAUAAUUAUAAAGCUUAAUAGGGUCUUCUUGUCUUUAAUGUUAAUUUUAGCUUUUUUACUAAAAUAUAAAAUUUGAAGUAUAAUAAUAAGACAUGAUUAAUUAGUUAAACCAUUCAUUC
rnacentral:rRNA from 1 species